AGUGAUAGGCCCACGAUCUCUUAGAAUAGUGAGCUUUAAUGUCACUGCUGCAAAUUCAUUUAUCAUAUUUGUAAGUUUUCACUUUUCACACGUCCAUCUCUUUUAUUCAAUACUUUCACUCAAAGAAAUGAAAAAAUCGACAUCAAAUUGUUCUCUUCUGCUCUAAUUUUUUUUUUUCCUUGUAAUUUUUCUUUCAAUUUUAAUUUAAUGUACUUUUUUUAUUAUUAUCUUUUUUGUAGUUCAAGAUUUGCCGACAUAGUUCCAAUGUCUUCCAUUAGCACUCAAAAUGCCUCCUCUUUGUUGUCAUUUUCAUCUUCAACACCACAAUGGAAAUAUGAUGUCUUUCUUAGUUUUAGAGGUGAUGACACCUGUAAUAGUUUUACGGACCAUCUCUACGUUGCUUUGAAACAAAAGGGCAUAAUCAUCUUUAGAGAUGAGGAAGAAAUUAAGAGAGCAAAAUCUAUUUCACCAGAGUUCUUGAAAGCAAUAGAAGAAUCAAGAUUUGUGAUUGUCAUUCUCUCAAGAAACUAUGCAUCUUCAACAUGGUGCUUGGAUGAACUUGUAAAGAUCAUAGAAUGCAUGAAAGAGAUGAAAACAAUUGUUUUUCCAAUUUUUUAUGAUGUGGAUCCAACUAAUGUACGAAAACAAACAGGCACUUUUGCUGAAGCCUUUUCUAAACAUGAAGAAUGUUUCAAGGACUUCAUAGAGAAGGUGCAAACAUGGAGAGUUGCUUUAAGAGAAUUGGCAAAUCUCAAAGGUUGGCACCUACUAGAUAGGUCUAAGACACAAUUUAUCCAGCAUAUUGUGGGAGAGUUAUGGCAUAAAUUAAGUUAUGCACACUUUGAAGAUUUUGAAGAUCUUGUAGGAAUAGAAUAUCGAGUGAAGGAAUUGGAGUCAUGUUUGGCUAUAGGGUCCGAUGAUGUUCGCUUUAUAGGGGUUUGGGGGAUGGGGGGAAUAGGUAAAACAACUCUUGCUAGAGUUGUUUUUCAAAUGGUUUUGGAGAAGUUUGAAGGUUGUUGCUUUCUACCUAAUAUUAGGGAGGUUUCUGAAAAAGAUGGUUUAAUUCGAUCGCAACAACUUCUUCUUUCAAAAAUAUCAAAUGAAAGGAUAAGUAUACAAGAUGUUAAUGAGGGAGUUUUCAUGAUCAAGAAUAGGUUACGUCAUAAAAGAAUUCUUCUUGUUCUUGAUGAUGUAGAUCAAUUAGACCAAUGCAAUAAGUUAGUUGGGGAGCAUAAUUGGUUUGGUUCAGGUAGUAGAGUUAUUAUAACAACAAGGGAUAAGCAUUUACUAGAACUACUUGGAGUAGAUGGAAUAUAUGAUGCUAAAGGAUUGAAUGAUAAUGAAUCUCUUCAUCUCCUUAGUUUGAAAGCUUUUAAAAAAUUGCAUCCUCCCAAUGAUUUUCUGCAGAUUUCCAAAGAUGUUGUGCAUCAUACAUGCGGACUUCCUUUAGCCAUUGAGAUUAUAGGUUCCCUUUUGUUUAACAGAAGUAUCAAUCAAUGGAAAAGUACAUUAAAUAGGCUUACAACAUUUCCUGAACAUCAUAUUAUCAAAGCACUUAGAAUAAGUUUUGAUGGGCUACAUGAAGUAGAGAAGGAAAUAUUCCUACAUAUUGCAUGUUUCUUUAAUCAUAUGGAUCAAGAUAAGGUCAUAGAAAUACUAGAUUGUCUUGCCCUACAUCCUAGAAUUGGAUUAGAUGUUCUAUUUAAGAAAUCCCUCAUAAAAUUGUAUUGGAAUCAAUUGUGGGUGCAUGGUUUAUUACAAGAAAUGGGUUGGAGCAUAGUUCAUGAUGAGUGCCAUAAAGAUCCUGGGAAGCGUAGUAAAUUGUGGUUGUAUAAAGACAUUGACCAAGUGCUGACAAAAAAUACGGGAACAAAAGCAGUUGAAGGCAUAGUCCUAAAUUUACCCAAACUAAUAGAGGCAGAUUGGAAUCCUAGAUCCUUUUUAAUGAUGCAACAUUUAAAAUUGCUCAUAAUCAAUAAUGUUCACCUUAUGCAUGACCCUAAACAUCUUUCCAAUGACUUAAGAUAUCUUGAUUGGCGUGGGUACUCUUCAAAAUCUUUGCCAUCAAGUUUCCAAUCAAACGAGCUUAUUGAACUUCACAUGUGCUGUAGCUACAUUGAACGACUUUGGAAAGGAACAAAGUCUUUUGAGAGAUUGAAACUCAUCGAAUUAAACAAUUCUCAAAAUCUCAUUGAAACCCCUGAUGUCACCAAAAUCCCAGUUCUUGAGAAGUUGUUUUUAGAAGAUUGUAUAAAUUUAGUAGGGGUGCACCAAUCAAUCGGAGUUCAUGAAAGGCUUACCAUUCUUAAUUUGAAAGGAUGCAAAAAUCUCAGAAGUCUUCCAAAAAAAUUUGAAAUGGAGUCUCUUAAAAUUCUUAUUCUUUCUGGUUGUUCAAAAGUGAAAAAAAUCCCAGAAUUUGGGAAGAAUAUGAAACUUGUAUUAAACCUUUACUUGGAUGACACUGCUAUUACAGAAUUACCCACAUCAAUCGGAGUUCUUAAAAAGCUAACUCUUCUUGAUCUAAAAGCCUGCAAAAGCCUCAAAACUCUUCCAAACAAGUUUGAAAUGGAGUCUCUUGAGAUUCUUACUCUUUCUAACUGCUCAAAAGUAAAACAAAUUCCAGAAUUUGGGGGAAACAUGAAACGUGUAUGUAAGCUUUACUUGGAUGGUACUGCUAUUACAAAUCUACCCACAUCAAUUGAGCAUUUGACUGACCUAGCUUCAAUUAAUUUAAGAGAUUGCAAAAAUCUUGUGUGUCUACCCAAUACCAUUUUCAAUUUGAAGUUGCUUAAAGAUGUGGAUAUUUCCGGAUGCUCAAAACUUGAGAGACUACCUGAGAAUUUGGGGAAUGCAAAAAGUAUAGAGGAGCUUGAUGUGAGUGGAACUGCUAUAAGACAAGUGCCUCCUUCCAUUGGUCUCUUAAAGAACCUUAAACAACUAUCUUUCCGCGGAUGUAAGGGGUUAUCAUCAUCUAAAUCUAAAUCAUGGUAUGACUUCCUCCCUUUUUAUUCAAUGCCAAGAUGUCCAGAUCCUGUGGAAUUGUCCUCUCUAUCUCUAUCAGGAUUAUGUUCUCUAAUCAAAUUGGAUCUAAGAGACUGCAAUCUUAGGGCUGUCCCCAAUGAUAUUGGUUGCUUAUUCUCAUUAAACAUAUUAAAUCUAAGUGGAAAUGAUUUUGGUUACCUUCCGGAAAGCAUCACUCAACUAACUAGUUUGAGACAUUUGAACCUGGAUAAUUGCACGAGUCUUCUAUCAUUGCCAAAGCUUCCAUUAAGUAUUGAUUAUAUUAGGGGAUUUAAUUGUACCUCAUUGGAAACGGUACCAGAUCUAUUGAAACCAAAUUCUUCAAUUGAGCCAACCCUCAAUCUUUCAGAUUGCAGUAAACUAGGUGACAAUCAAGGCUUUAUUGACAUGUUUUUUGCAGUGAUAAAAAAGUUGUUACAGGGACAUUCUCUUGACGACAGACAUCUGCAUAAGAAAUAUGCCAUCAUUUUUCCUGGAAGUAAAAUUCCGAAAUGGUUUAGGCAUCAAAGUAUAGGGGCUGAAGUGAAUAUAAAAGAACCUUUUUCUCGUUUGUGUAAUGAGUGGAUGGGGAUCGCUGUCUGCGUUGUAUUUUGUUCUCAUCCACAUCACCAAAUCCCCAAUGGUGAUUCACUUUCCUGUUGGCUGGUAGCCAAUGGAAAAAAAAUGUCUUCUGCACCAAACACUGGCCAUAUUGUUGUUUUAUCGGAUCACAUCUGGCUACUUUAUUUGCUUCCUCAAUACUACCAAGAGAAACAAAUAAAAUUAUUGUGGGAAUGUGAUGCAAAUGGAUUCAUUCGGGUUGGAAUUAGAAUUAUGACUCAUUGUUCAGUCUUUGAGGUGAAGAGAUGCGGGUUCCGUAUGGUAUAUAAGAAAGACAUUGAAGAUGUCAACCGAAGUAUGGCUCAGUGUAGCAACAAUAGCACCAUUCCUUAUUAGGGUUUGGAUGUUGUCCAUCAUAAAUUCGGCAAUGCCAAGCGAACCCGUGAUGACUAUGAUGGGGCUAGACCUAAUGGAGAAGGAAGCUCUAAUGAUGUACCACACCCAAAACGGAUUGUGAGGAGUCUAUUGAGUAUAGAGAAUGUGGUGAGGAGUUAAGUGAUUGGGAGGAAUCUAGUGAAAGUGACCGGGAAGGUUAAUCAACUUUUUUCUCUACAUUACCUGCAUGGACAAAGGGAAUCAGGGAAAUUUAGAAAAUGACAAGGCAAUUGUGAAGAAAGAGCCUUUCUCUGCCAUUAAUGUGGUCUUGUAUUGUAAAAGUUUGGUUACAAUGUGCUGGGUAACUAACAAUUUAAAAAACAAUGAAAAGCCUUGACAGCAGCAGGAUAAGCAAAUCCAGACCUUUAGAGAGUGUUCCAACUGGAAACCACUCAUGUUGUAGGAAAGCUGCAAGGGUAGGAGAAGAAAAUAGAGGGGAUCUAGUUUCUUUUGUAAAAAUAGAGAAGGUGCAUGUCCAUGGCUGGUUGUUUCA